CGCUUGGUAAUGCUUUUCACUCAGGUAAACUUUGAGUAUAUUCAGUGAUUUAUUCGCUUUUUUAUUUUUCUGAGGACCCACUAUGACCAGAUCUUAGGCUAGACCCUAAGGAUAUCAACAGUUAAUAAGUGCAGAUUCUCAAUCUCCUGGAUCUUAAAGUAUAAUGGAAUGAUUGACACUUGAACAGGAAAAUUACAGUACAGCGUGGGAUGCAGGACCUUGGCUUUUCCAUUCAGAGCACAGCUCCCACCAGCCACACCUGCAUGGUGACCAAGAAACCACAGAAGCCUGAGCCACCAUCCCCAGGAUGGGGGAUUCUUCUACCACUGAGUCACCUGGGAAGCCCAAUUCGCAUCUACCAACCCAGCAACCUGAAACUCCCAGUUCGUCCCUCUCCAUCCUCCUCUCCCCUUGGCAAACACAAGGCUGUUCCAUGUCUAUGCACACUCAAUUUCUUGUGUGAAAGCCUUGGCAAGCUCAGGUUUUCUAUAUGACUUAAUUAUCUGGGAACAUCUUUAUCUUGCCUCUGGCUUAGCUGGAAGUUGACGGAUUCUGGAUAGAAAUCAAAGACCCUUUCCCAUCCAAUUAGCCCUCAAUAAAACUAUUGUUGAAAAAGAAACAUUAAUGCAUCUAUUAAGUCACUCUUGAUUUAAUUAAUUUUAUUUGCUUAUUUAUUUUCAACUAUUUCACCUCGUGCAGAGUACCAUAAUAUCUCCUGGAGUUAGCAGACAUGAGGAGAGUGUCCUGUCUUCAACAGCCAAGAAUUUCCCAUUCCCUAGAAAAGAGUGCUGAAGAAUUGCUUUCUGGAGGAUCCAGUGCUUCUCUAGUGCAUGGAAGAAUUGAUGCUUUUGAACUAUGGUAUUGGAGAAGACUCUUGAGAGUCCCUUGCACUGCAAGGAGAUCAAACCAGCCCAUCCUAAAGGAAAUCAGUCCUGAAUAUUCAUUGGAAGGACUGAUGCUGAAGCUGAAGCUCCAUACUUUGGCCACCUGAUGCAAUGAACUGACUCACUGGAAAAGCCCCUGAUGCUGGGAAAGAUUGAAGGUGGGAGGAGAAGGGUGUGACAGAAGAUUAAACGGUUGGGUGGCAUCACUGACUUGUUGGACAUGAGUCUGAGCAAGCUCCAGGAGAUGGUGAAGGAGAGGGAAGCCUGGCAUGCUGCAGUCCAUGGGUUCGCAAAAAGUCGGACACGACUGAGCAACUGAACUGAACUGAGGCUCAUUUUGGACAAAAACUUCAGACAGAGUGUUGAGUAAGAGCAGGGUCAGUUUAGCAAAUUGCCCUUGUAUAUAGACAGAGAAUUGUAGUAACCUCCAAGAGACCCAUGUUCUACAUCCAGCUUGGCCCCAAGUCACUUUGUGACCUUGAGCAAGCCUCAUUCUCCUUCCAAGCCUCAGUUUCCCCAUACUUAAAACAAGUUGAUUGAACUAAAUAAUCCCUAAGGUAGCUCUAGCUCUGGUAUUCCCUAGCAGAAUAUUACCCAACCUUUUAAUUCCUAAGGGAAUCUUGCUUAGAAACUAGGAGAAUUAUCUUUGCACAGGAAGUCAGAGAAUGCUUGCAGAAUCAUAAAACAAAUAUUAGGAAAAAAACAUAAGAAUAUUGUGUUGUUCUGUGCUUUUGGCUCAUAUUUUCUAAAGUCCAUGUCAAAUAUUUGCAGCACAACCACAUUUUAUUUUCAAAUAUAGAGAGGAAGCAGGGGAAGUAGGAGUAACAGUUGCUAUGAAAAUUAACCAUGCUCUAUCAAAAUAUGAUUGCAUUUGGUAGGCCAUGUAUCCUCAGCUUCCUGAACAUACAUUCUGCCUUCACAGAUCAUAUCUGCUAGAGAUCACAGACAUAGAGAUAAAUAACUCAAAUACAUACAAAGUAUGACAUAUAAAACCAAUAUAAAGAAUCUUAGAAAGGAGAAAGAUCACACUGAUUUGGGGGAUCAGGAAAGUUCAUGGAGAAGUUAGCAUUUGAUGUUGGUUUGGAGAAAGAAAUGGUCGUAAGAAUCAAGAGGAGGCCAAUCAGUGAGAACACUGUGAACAAAGGCAGAGGCAGGGAAACCAUAUGAGUCUGGUGGCUAGCACAUGGGUAGUUUGCUUGGCUUAAGGCAAAAAGCUAUGAAAUGAAGUAGUGGGAAAGAGAACUAAUUAAAUUUAUGUGUUAUAUUUCCCUCGUUAGUACACACCUUUUUUAUGGCAAAAAUCCUUGUUUACUUUUGUCAUCCUAUCAAAAAUGACACAUAAUCAUCUCUCAAAAUUUGUUUAAUGAAUAAAUAAACUAUAUUAUAUGUUACUUUUUCCUCUAAACCAUCAAUGCACUGUGUAGACCUAACUAUAUCCUAGAAGCUCAGAA
ensembl:lncRNA